GCAACUGUUAUAAUCUAUACCCAUAUUCAGGAUUAUAUAAAUAUAAAGACCCAUUCCGAAAUGUCUCAUUUGAACGUAAGGUUCAAACUUAUAACUUUACUCAUCCCUGAAUCUUCGUGACAUAAUUCAUUAACUAUAUAUUCGCUAUACCCCACUUUAUGUACUUCUAUGCUAUUAUAGUAACUUACUUUACAAAAUAAUAGUAAAGCUACAUCUCGUAUUCAAAAAGAUUUUCUAUUCAACAUAAUUACUGGGUAUAACAAUAUACACUACUCAAUUAAAUCACUUUACAGCAAGUAGCCUCAGCUCGGUACAGUCUAAACUUGAUGAAGUAAUACAUCUUUAAUACUCAUGUCUCAUCACAAAUCUUCGUUGUUAUGACCGUCUGAUAAAUCAACAUUUAUCUGCAAAAUUGUUUGCAAGAUUGAGCACUACGGCCCAGUAAGUCUAACAGUUUUCAUGCUUCACAUAGCACAUAAUAUCAUGCUUAUAUCAUAUCUCAAGAUUAUUACAAUUUAAGUAACAUUUGUAUCUCAUGCAUAUCAAAUAUCAAAUCAAGACUGAGUUUUAAAAACUCAAUCAAAUUUAGUCAAUAGUUGACUUUCAUCAUUCCACAAGUAUAACAUGUAAUCCAUAUAAUCAUGUCAAAUUCAUAUACAAAUAGGAACUGGAAGACUUGCCUUCGUGAUGCACAUCUAUCGAUUCUAAACGGUUACAUGAACUCGAAGCGAUAUGAUUCCAUAAAGUACCUAUGUAACAUACAUCCAUAACUCAAUGAAACAUAUUCUUUUAACUUUGAUUUAAACCCAAACAAUAUAUUCAAUAUAGGUAAUUUGUUCAUAUUACACCGCAUAAAGCGUAUUAUAUUUUUUUAAUGUAAAUGCACUGUAAGAAUCUCAAUUCAAACUUGUAUUUUCAAGCUUAAAUAACUUAUUUUCAUUUAAAUAAAUUUAUUAGAUUUAUUAAUAAUAUUAUAAGUUAAUUAACUUAUAAUAUUUUAGUUUUAUAAAUUUUAAUUCAUACUAUUUUUCUCGCAUCAAGACUCGUGCCAAAAAUAGACUUGAAACACCGAGAAAUAACGCAGCACAUUGCAGCUGCUACUGCAGCUUGCUGUGUGCUUCUGCUGCAACUUGCUGCUGCAGCCAAUCAUCACUACUAGCCCGUUUCGCGCUUUAAUAACUCUAUAUCUAAGCAUCCGAUUGGUACCAAAUUUUAAUAUGCUAAACAUGGUACUACAAACUAUUUUGUAAAAAUAUUACUCAAUCAAAAAGAGCAUUAUAAACUGCUUUUACAUGGGCAUAAAAGUACUCGGUCACAACAAUUUCCAACUGAGCACAAUCUUGAUCCAAUACUCCUAAAUUUGUUCUACACUCACUUUAAUUCAUCUAAUCAGUUUAGUUUACAUUAUAUUACAUGUACAAAAGACACCUUGCCCUCAAUACAGCAAUGUUGCGAAAUCAAUCCCUAAUACCAUAACUUUUUCGUUUCAAAACAUUUUUGAGCGAUUAUUGAGCCCACGCGAAGCUAACUUCCGGGACUACAAUUUCUCUUCAGAUCACAAAUCCAAAUUCCAAACCGAAGAGAACAGAAAUCUGCUCUAAGUGGACAGAAUGUUCUGUUUUUAGACUGCACGACCCUCCUUCCCUAAAAUGGUCAUAACUUUCUCAACAUUUUUAAGCGAUUCUUGAGCCCACGCGAAGCUAACUUCCGGGGCUACAACUUUUAUUCUUUGACCAUUUCCAAAUUCAAAACACAGAAUUCCAGAAAAUUCGUACAAAGUGACUUCCCCGAGUUUGUUAGACAGUUUUGACGCGACUACUUUGAACGGUCAUAACUCUUUGCUCUGAAGUCGGAAUUAGUCCGUUCAGGAGUCUAUGGAAAACUUAUUCAAUGUACUAUAAUACCCCAAAAGCCCAGAAGUUUCUGGAAACUCUAGCUAGCCCCGAAUUUGUCCUUGGGGUCAGCGGUUCACAAUUUUUUUCGGAUUUUGUUUCUUGAAGCCUCCUAACAAUUAGCGUAACUUUUGCUAUAAAAGUUCAAAUGACUUGAAAUUUGUUCCUACUUCGAGACCUUGUUAUAAGGUACAUUUGUCAUCCAAGUUUGAUCUUUAACAACAUUAUUAAGACACCUAACUAAAAGCUCAAAACUCAGGGUUCAUACCCUUUUUAAGGAAAUUUAUUUGAUUUAAUUUCAUUCCAUCGCUUUUCAAACUGAUUUAGUUCCUCUGAUUAGCUUAGUAAACCUCACACUACAUAUUCAAAUGUCUUUUAGUUCCAAGCCUUGGGUAAUCAUUCGUUUUUAAGCUUGGAAACCUUGUUUGGGCAUUUCAUCAAACAUCUAGCAUACAAGCUUUAAAAAGUCAGAUUUCAUGUGUUUAAAUAUAACCAAAAAUUUCCUCCCUUUUCACUCCAUUCUACCUGCAUAGGAUCUCCUUACAAUUCACAUCCCAACCAACAACUCAAUCAUAACCCAAUUAUAAUAUAUCACACUUGUUACUAAUCUUUUUUUUUUUUAUUACAAUAGCUAUGAAUAAAAAAAACUUACCUUAAACCCACUUGAAUUAGGUGAUUUUUCCGUGUAAAAGGAUCAAUUUAUGUAGCCUUUCCUGCUAAUGAUGCUCGAAACUUCAUACACUACAACAUUAGUUGGCCGACUGCUGCUAUAGACAGAAUAGAGAAGGGGUUUAACAAGUUUUUUUUUUAAAAAGCGCUUGAUCAUAGAGAAUUGAAAAAGAGACAGGAAUGGGAACAUAGCUUUCCGUUAGCUUCUUUCAGUCUUUCUUUGCUAAUGCUUGAUUGAUAGCAGAGGAAAUAGCAAGACACUUGAACAGCUCAUGCUUGAUUGAUAACUUAAUGUCUUGCUAAGGCUUUCUAAUAAUGCCACCUCCUGCUCACUAAUUGAAUCAGCAAGCCCACUCAUCAGCUAUAACCCAUGUGAUUCCACUUUAAUUCUCAGCUUAUAUUUUAG
rnacentral:lncRNA from 1 species